CGGGGUGAAAAGAGCGAAGCAUCCUGCAGAGUCUCACAACGCUGGAGGAAAUGGGAGGGGUGACUCCGCGUUGGUUCGUCUCCGUGCUUCUCUGAUCAAACCGAGGCCAUGAGGACGACGCUGACGAGCCUUCUCGUUUCCAUCCAGCUCUUUGAAGCGUGUGCAGAGUUGAUCUUCAGGCAGCUGGCAGAGGGACAGUCCCUGCAGCUCUCUUGUCCACUCCGGGAGCAGCAGGGUCCACCCACAGGUCUACACCUUUACCACCGCGGCGGCCAGACGCAGACCACCCUGCUGUCUAUGGCGGAAGGGGCGGAGCCAAAGGUCAAUCCGCAGCACAGGGGGCGUCUGCAGCUCCACGGUGGGUUGCGCUCCCCGCAGGUCAACGUGAGCGUGUCGGACCUGCAGCGCGGGGAUACGGGCCUCUACGUGUGGGAGCUGAGCUCCAGGGAGAACAGCUCUGAGGAGGUCAGCGUCAGCGCUGCAAAGGUGCUGCUGCUGGUUGAAGGGAGGUGGUGCCCGUGCUCUCCCAGUUACCCUCCGCUCCUGCUGACUCUGUUCGUGGCCGCAGGGCUGCUACUGCUGGCGCUCUGCUGCCUUGCUCUGGACAACCGACUGAAGGUGAGGAAAUACCACCGACCGCAGCCUCCUGUCGCAAUUUACGAGGAAAUGACCAGCAAGAAGCAGCAGCAGCAGCAGGCCGGCGGGAUCCCCCCAAACCACCCUGAGGCCCCUCGGCACCUGGAGGAAGUCAACUUCCCUGUGUACGCCAACCCCAACAUCCGGCCGCCGCAGGACAACCACUACGCCUGUCCCAGAAGGCUGGCGUCCAACGCACACGGAAAAUGAAAAACCAGACGGUACAAUCUCAUCAGCCGAGGAAAAAAAACGCUAUUUUAUUAAUAUUUGAAAGAAGCUCCAUAGUUCAUGAAAACAUUUGUUUCGGUGCAUGUCAUGUAACAAUCACAUUCUAUGAGGAGAAAGAUAUAUAGAGAAAAAAAGAAAACAUCACAAGCCACUGACUUCAAUAAAUCUCAGUAAAGACAUUUUUAACUUAAUAUUAAAAAAAGGAAAAAAAAAAAAAAGCAGCCCGAAUCCCAACACCCCCCCUCCCCACAGAAAAAUAAGAACUGAGAAAACAGAACCCUUCAGGGUGACAGGCUCGAAUCCCACAGUGCUAAAGAGUGAGACGCUCAUUGGUUUGUAGGAAAACACAGCAUGGUGAUGUAGCGCAACCUCCGUCUAGAUCGGGGGGAGGAAGCUGGAGGAGAUCCACCUCUACGCCUCCUGUUAAAGGAAAAAAUCCAAAUCCCAGAAACCCCUGCAAGAGAUCAGCUGCCUCCCCCAUCUUCCACCCCGCCCCCCCUCAAAUCCUUGUGCAUAGUUUCAUGAUCCUUUACAACCAGCUCGGGUUUUUACACAAACAUCCUCUGAAUGUGAAAAAGAUUCCACAAAAGUCUGAUUUUUUUUGUGUGUUAUUGAUACCCGCUGUGGGAGGAUGAAAGAGAGAGAGAGAGAGAGAGAGAGAUACAGAGAGACAGUGAGAGAGUAAUGCACAACAUUCCUGAUUCAGUCAGGACGGGACCUCAUUAGAAACACAAUAAAGAUUCAAAACAUACAGCAUUUUGCAUGUUAUUCACGGUCUCUUUUUCAACAAUCAAAAUGAUUUUUUUUUAAUUUUUAAAUGUAAAGCAAUUUUAAUAUAUAGAUUUAUAUAUAAAGCACUCAUUUUUCAUUUAAAGUCCAUUAUUUGGUUAUUAUGUAACUGCUACGGAUUUAGAAACAAAAGGUAUUUUCUCUUCUUCCGAAAUCCAUAACUUUCAGUGCUUAGAAUGGUUUCCUUUACAUUUUUAUUCAUUUUUUAAUCAUCAUAAAAAUGUACAUUAAAAUGGCGUGGAGUUGGUACUCUGGAACCCUGGCCUUCCUGAGACGAGAUCCACUUUUUCGUGUGUGUGCAACAUAGUGAGCUUUUUUCUUUUCUUUUUUUUUUAAUAUAAAGGAAAAAAAAAAUUCUAUUUAAUCAACAAAACUUCAGAUAGUCCAUGAAAUCAACAUUGACACGGAACAAAGAAGGUCAAACGACAACAAGACAACACUGUUCGAUCCCAGAGUUCGUGAGAGUAGCACGAUAAAUCUUCAUUCUGUGAAGUCAGUUGUUGCACUUAGAGAUUGGAAGCAUUUGUCCUUUUUUUUUUUUUUUUUUAAACAUUCCCAUGGUUUAACUCGUUUGUGUUGCUGAUUUUUCUUCUGAACUCCAGAAAACAAAAGAAAAGGAAAUGUUGUAAACUGUCAGUGGCCUUGCAGAACAUAAAACCGACAUGAGUGAAGUGAAGGUAAAUGAUAAAGAACAGAAAGCUAACAAACCAAAAGAGUAGGCACCUCUGAAGCGAGCCCUACGAGCUGAGGCUCAGUCCCACGUCUCGCCUUCGCACUCUCCGCUGCUCAGAUUUGGGAGAGUUGAAGCCUUCUACCCCCAACCUAUGGCCACAGGUCUGCAAAAUACUUUUUUUUUUUUUUUUGCUGUA
rnacentral:lncRNA from 1 species